GCAAUCAUCAUCAUGAUGUUCAUGUUGUCAUCAUUAGUUACCAGAAAACUUAAGCUUAAUGACUUCUGCCAUUCCACACAUAUGAACACACAUAUGCUUUGAAAAUCAGUCUGCUUUUGUUUUCUACCUGUGUCAACAUUAAUUUAUUAUGCAUGAAUUUUAUCCCUUUCUUUUUUAAUUCUAUUUAUUCCUAGGUUUAGCUUAAAUAUUUUUAAUGGUACACUACUUGUUUUAUUACUUCUACACUGUAAAAAAUUGCUGUAAAAAAACGGGGAAUUUUGGACAGUAAUUUACCGUUUCUCAUAAAUACAGUUGAAUACUGUAAAUAAACAUUAAUAUGACAAACAAAAUAAUAACAGCAAGCUCCUGUUCAGUCUUACGGGAUAAUACAGUAUUUUUUGGUUUGGUCAGGCAUGUCAGACAUGUGACGAGCUCAUCUGCAACCAUGAGUAAAACUGAUUUAACUACACUGUUUUUCUGCAUUUUAUUAUACGAGAAGGAAGCAGAAUUAAAGACUGUCUAUCCAUUUUCACUCCGAUUGUGACCCUACCAGCACUGAGACGGACGACGAAUUCACUUAUUUUUUACUCCUCGCCUGUAUAUCAAGUUGCUGGUGAUGAAGUCACAUUUGGAGGUUGGAUGAUCAGCAGUGAAAACAUCAUCAUCUGUGAAGGCAAGAUGAAGCUGCGAGGACACUGGAGUUUGUUCAAAGAUGCUUAAUUGGUGUGAACCCUAAGAGGUGAACAAAAGCCAGGCAGGUGAAGGUGUCCGAGAAGACAGGAAAGCUUGUCCAGAAAAACGCAGCAACUGUUAAUCCCCAUGUGACCACCCUCAUCAAAAACUUCAUGGACUUUGAGUGGCUUUCACAUUGUAUUCUGCAGUGUUGUGAUAUUUAUGUGACAUCACAGCAUUAUGUUUUAUUCAGCCCAGUCUCAUUAGUGAGGCAGAAACUGACAUUUAAGAAUGCACUGAAUUUUGUUAUAUUUAAUAAAAACAGUGUUUUAUCAUCAUCCUUUGUUUGAGAAUUUUUUUGCAAGCAAUUUUAAGUGUUUAUUUUAAAAUUACAUUUUAACAAUGCUAGAAAAAUCACAUUCUACAGUAUAAAUAACAGCAGGAACCCUAAAAUAACAGUAUAAUGCAUCCAAACAUCUGACAGUAUUAUACUGUGCAGCUCCCUUUUUUUACAGUACUGUCUCGUAAUAUUUGUACAGUAAAAAACUGUUGUUGUAAAUUACAGUAGGUAAUCUGUAAAAUUACAACUAUAUGCUGGCAAAUCUAGCUGCCAGUAUAUUACUGUAAUUUAACAGUGAAAUUUUUUACAGUGUAUGUAUUAUGCACCUUUGGGGAGAAGCUUCGCAAUUUCGUUGUAUUAAAUAUACAAUGACAAUAAAGAAUUCAAUUCAAUUCAAUUAAUUUACACCCAUCAUUUAUUUAUAAACAUACGGUUGUGACCUCCACAAAAAUGAUCUGCAUUCAGCACUGACGUUUUAACGUUUACAUGAUUUUUUUCCAUUAUAUAACAGCCUAUUAUGAGCGUUUGGGAGUCUGGUGUGAGGGUUAAUACCUAUAGCCUACUUAAAGAUGAACAUUAUAAGGAAAUAAAAUAUUCAAUCAGAAAUAUUAUAGCAAUUAUGUAUUCAUUUGUUAGUAAUUUAAUGAGGAUCCUACAUAUUAAUUUAAAUGGAAUAUGCAAUCAAUAAUUAAAUCGAAUCAUACAUAUAGAUUGACCAAUAUUCAUUUGUCUAAUGAUUCUGACAGGAUUCCUUAACAAUGCAGGACUUUCAUGUUUCAAUAAACCGCUUUCCUUACAAACU